rnacentral:rRNA from 1 species
UACGUAGGGCGCAAGCGUUGUCCGGAAUUAUUGGGCGUAAAGAGCUCGUAGGCGGCUUGUCACGUCGGGUGUGAAAGACCGGGGCUUAACCCCGGUUCUGCAUUCGAUACGGGCUGGCUAGAGUGUGGUAGGGGAGAUCGGAAUUCCUGGUGUAGCGGUGAAAUGCGCAGAUAUCAGGAGGAACACCGGUGGCGAAGGCGGAUCUCUGGGCCAUUACUGACGCUGAGGAGCGAAAAGCGUGGGGGAGCGAACAGG